rnacentral:rRNA from 1 species
UACGGGGGGGGCAAGCGUUGUUCGGAAUUACUGGGCGUAAAGGGCGCGUAGGCGGCCUGCUAAGUCACACGUGAAAUCCCUCGGCUCAACCGGGGAACUGCGUGUGAUACUGGCGGGCUUGAAUUCGGGAGAGGGAUGUGGAAUUCCAGGUGUAGCGGUGAAAUGCGUAGAUAUCUGGAGGAACACCGGUGGCGAAGGCGGCAUCCUGGACCGAGAUUGACGCUGAGGCGCGAAAGCUAGGGGAGCAAACGGGG